GUUGACCUCGGAUCAGGUAGGGAUACCCGCUGAACUUAAGCAUAUCAAUAAGCGGGAGGA
rnacentral:rRNA from 1 species